rnacentral:rRNA from 1 species
UGACUNGAGUGCAGAAGGGGAGAGUGGAAUUCCAUGUGUAGCGGUGAAAUGCGUAGAUAUAUGGAGGANCACCAGUGGCGAAAGCGGCUCUCUGGUCUGUCACUGACGCUGAGGCUCGAAAGCGUGGGUAGCGAACAGGAUUAGAUACCCUGGUAGUNCACGCCGUAAACGAUGAGUGCUAGGUGUUAGGCCCUUUCCGGGGCUUAGUGCCGGAGCUAACGCAAUAAGCACUCCGCCUGGGGAGUACGACCGCAAGGUUGAAACUCAAAGGAAUUGACGGGGGCCCGCACAAGCGGUGGAGCAUGUGGUUUAAUUCGAAGCAACGCGAAGAACCUUACCAGGUCUUGACAUCCCGAUGCUAUUCUUAGAGAUAGGAAGUUACUUCGGUACAUCGGAGACAGGUGGUGCAUGGUUGUCGUCAGCUCGUGUCGUGAGAUGUUGGGUUAAGUCCCGCAACGAGCGCAACCCUUAUUGUUAGUUGCCAUCAUUAAGUUGGGCACUCUAGCGAGACUGCCGGUAAUAAACCGGAGGAAGGUGGGGAUGACGUCAAAUCAUCAUGCCCCUUACGACCUGGGCUACACACGUGCUACAAUGGUCGGUACAACGAGUUGCGAGCCGGUGACGGCAAGCUAAUCUCUGAAAGCCGAUCUCAGUUCGGAUUGGAGGCUGCAACUCGCCUCCAUGAAGUCGGAAUCGCUAGUAAUCGCGGAUCAGCACGCCGCGGUGAAUACGUUCCCGGGCCUUGUACACACCGCCCGUCACACCACGAGAGUUUGUAACACCCGAAGUCGGUGAGGUAACCUUUUAGGGGCCAGCCGCCUAAGGUGGGANGGAUG